UGGGGAAUCUUCCGCAACGGACGAAAGUCUGACGGAGCAACGCCGCGUGUAUGAUGAAGGUCUUCGGAUUGUAAAGUACUGUCAUUGGGGAAGAACGGUUUUCUUGAGAAUAUUGAGAAGACAUGACGGUACCCAAGGAGGAAGCCCCGGCUAACUACGUGCCAGCAGCCGCGGUAAUACGUAGGGGGCAAGCGUUGUCCGGAAUUAUUGGGCGUAAAGGGCGCGUAGGCGGGCCUUUAAGUCCGGUGUGAAAGAUCAGGGCUCAACCCUGAGAGUGCAUCGGAAACUGGAGGCCUUGAGGACAGGAGAGGAAAGUGGAAUUCCACGUGUAGCGGUGAAAUGCGUAGAUAUGUGGAGGAACACCAGUGGCGAAGGCGACUUUCUGGACUGUAACUGACGCUGAGGCGCGAAAGCGUGGGGAGCAAACAGGAUUAGAUACCCUGGUAG
rnacentral:rRNA from 1 species